rfam:Beauveria bassiana ARSEF 2860 unplaced genomic scaffold BBA_S00006, whole genome shotgun sequence.
UAAUGAACAACGCAAAUAACACGUUUACGCUCCCCUGAAUGCGCCCGGUGUGAGGUGGCAAUUUGUUGCUACCCAAGACCUACCGGACCGCGAGGAACACAAAACGGAGAAGAAACCGAGCAAUCUUGGGUGCGGUGCUUCCCGGCCACUGGCCACAUGGGGAGGAUCGCAAUGAUUGAGCGUACAU